rnacentral:rRNA from 1 species
UUCUCGAAUUUAGAAGAGCUAAUUUUUUUAUUGUAAUAAAUAUUUUUAAUAAGAGGUGAAAUGUUAAUAUAUCUAGUUUUUUCAGAAGAUUUAAUCUGCUUAAAUUUCAGGGGAUGAGCUUUGAAUAGGAUUAGAAUUUUUGUUAUAAUUAAUUUAUGAGAAAAUUUUCUUAAAUUUUUUUAGUAAUAAUGAUAGGAUUAGUAUAAGAUUAAAAAAAGGAACUCGGCAAGUAUUUUUCACCUGUUUAUUAAAAACAUGUCCUUUCGAAUUUUAUUUAAGGUCUGUCCUGCCCACUGAGGCCGCGGUAUUCUGACCGUGCAAAGGUAGCAUAAUAAUUAGUUUUUUAAUUGAAAGCUGGAAUGAAUGGUCGGAUGAAAUUAUUAUUGUCUCUUUUUAAUAGAAUUUUAUUUUUAAGUAAAAAAGCUUAAAUAUUAUUAAAAGACGAGAAGACCCUAUAGAGUUUUAUUUUAGUUGGGGUGACAAAAAAAUUGGAUGAACUUUUGAUUGAAAGAUAAAAUUACCUUAGGGAUAACAGCGUUAUUUUCUUUAGAGUUCAAAUCUAAAGGAAAGUUUGCGACCUCGAUGUUGGAUUAAAGUUAAUUUUGGUGUAGAAGCU